CUUGCAUCUGUUUUUACAGAUUAUAUAACACGGAGUGUAAUCAGGUUUUGUCCAUCAAAAUGAAGUUGCUUCUAGCUUUCUACUUCUAUUCCUGUCUUUUCUCCUCAGUAACCUUGCUGAAUUGUUUCAAGUGCACUAGUGAUUCAGGAAGGUGUAGCACGACAUUUUCACAACAGUGUCCACCUGGAAACUUAUGUGCUGCUCUGAUAUACAAUUACUCUGUGCCAGGGUUUUCUGUGAAUAGGAAUGGAGAGAUUCGAGGCUGUUUUCCACAGGCUGUAUGUAAACAAGUGAAUCCAGGGGGUUUAAAAACAAGUUACUCGGCUAACAUUGGAGUGGCGAAAGGUUUUCUAUCCGUCUCUUGCUGCCAGUCGGAUUAUUGUAACCUCAUCAUUAUCUCUGACAAAAAACCAAAUGGACUUCAAUGUUUAAGCUGCAGGAAGUUAACAGACACAGUAUGCAGAUCUUCCAUUUCUUGUGUGGGAAAUCAAGAUCAUUGUAUGACUGGAACAGUUUUAAGCCUGGCAAACUUAACAAUCAAGGGAUGUGCUUCUAAAAGUUUCUGCACUACAAAUUUUCAAAAUUCCACAUUGGGAGAUGUCCAAUGUUGCAAAGGAAACUUGUGUAAUAAGAGUAAAACUUGGAAUAGGCCGGAUGUUGGCCUGUUACUGAUGAUCCUAAUCUUUACAAAAAUACUCCAGUAAGAAUUUAAUCAGCUGCUCUUUCCCUCAAAUUGCACAAUUUUGCUCUACCUAUAUAAAUAUCAUGGUAUGUGUUAAAGUAUUUUUGUCAUUUAAUAUUUUCAUAUUGUAUUUUUAUUAGGUUUUGUUGAUGAUUUUAAUGUAGAUGAGUGUGAGUGUGAAGUGCUGAUUUAUUGCUUGGCUUAUAGGCUGUGUAAAUUGUUCAAAUUCGUUUGUAUGCAUUCUGAAGAUGCAAGGUCUAAAACAUUGUUCAGUAUUUGCACCAAAAUUUCUGUCCAGUGAUAAUAAAAGCACUAAAACAAACCAGGACUCAUUUCUAUUCCUGAGAUUUUAGUUAUUGAUAGUAAAUAGUAGAAUUAGAUAUAGCAAUAGAACAGUGUAUACACACAUGUAGGAACGCAGCAGCAAUGCAGCAGCCCGUGGCACUUCUUCCUAAAUUGAUUUAUAUUCUUGAGAUAUGGCUGAUGUACUGUAAUCUCUGGCAAUGUAUGGUAAUACAAUUACCAGCAUCGACAGUUUAGCAAUACAGAAUUAAAUGUUAUAUUAUGUUAUAUUGCUGGAAUAUGACCACAUAUGGCUGGGAAAUUAUAUUAUAUUAUUGAUUUGUUUAUAGUAGUUACUUCACUUUUGACACAAGGAACAAACAUACAAGCCUUUUUUUUUUUUCUAAUUUGGCCUUUUUAUGCAUACAUGGUCAUAAAAUGACCAGUG